rnacentral:lncRNA from 1 species
UGUUAAGGUCUGGUAGCUAUGACUGGGUUACUGUUAGGAUCUGGUAGCUGUGACUGGGUUAUUGUUAGGAUCUGGUAGCUGUGACUGGGUUAUUGUUAGGUUCUGGUAGCUGUGACUGGGUAAUGUUAGGGUCUGGUAGCUGUGACUGGGUUAUUGUUAGGGUCUGGUAGCUGUGACUGGGUUAUUGUUAGGUUCUGGUAGCUGUGACUGGGUUAUUGUUAGGGUCUGGUAGCUGGGUUACUGUUAGGGUCUGGUAACUGUGACUGGGUUAUUGUUAGGGUCUGGUAGCUGGGUUAUUGUUAGGGUCUGGUAGCUGUGACUGGGUUACUGUUAGGGUCUGGUAGCUGUGACUGGGUUAUUGUUAGGGUCUGGUAGCUGGGUUACUGUUAGGGUCUGGUAGCUGUGACUGUGUUACUGUUAGGGUCUAGUAGCUGGGUUACUGUUAGGGUCUGGUAGCUGUGACUGGGUUACUGUUAGGGUCUGGUAGCUGUGACUGGGUUACUGUUAGUGUCUGGUAGCUGUGACUGGGUUAUUGUUAGGUUCUGGUAACUGUGACUGGGUUAUUGUUAGGGUCUGGUAGCUGGGUUACUGUUAGGGUCUGAUAGCUGUGACUGGGUUAUUGUUAUGGUCUUGUAACUGUG